rnacentral:rRNA from 1 species
UACGUAGGGCGCAAGCGUUAUCCGGAAUUACUGGGCGUAAAAGGGCGCGUAGGCGGCGCAACAAGUCACUUGUGAAAUCUCCGGGCUUAACCCGGAGCGGCCAAGUGAUACUGUCGUGCUAGAGUUGCGGAAGGGGGCUACUGGAAUUCUCGGUGUAGCGGUGAAAAUGCGUAGAUAUCGAGAGGAACACCUGCGGCGAAGGCGGGGUA